GUCUGGCUAGCUCAGCUGGUAGAACGUGGAACUCUUGCUCUCAGGAUCAUGGGUUUGAUCCCCAUGCUGAGUG